rnacentral:rRNA from 1 species
AGUUUGAUUCUGGCUCAGANCNUUNGCUGGCGGCAUGCCUAAUACAUGCAAGUCGAACGGUAGCAGACCCUUCGGGGUGCUGACGAGUGGCGGACGGGUGAGUAAUACAUGGGAAUCUGCCUGGUAGUGGGGAACAACUCGGGGAAACUCGAGCUAAUACCGCAUACGCCCUAUGGGGAAAGCGGGGGAUCUUCGGACCUCGCGCUAUCAGAUGAGCCCAUGUCCGAUUAUGCUUGUUGGUGGGGUAAUGGCCUACCAAGGCUACGAUCGGUAGCUGGUCUGAGAGGACGAUCAGCCACACUGGGACUGAGACACGGCCCAGACUCCUACGGGAGGCAGCAGUAGGGAAUACUGGACAAUGGGCGAAAGCCUGAUCCAGCAAUGCCGCGUGUGUGAAGAAGGCCUGCGGGUUGUAAAGCACUUUUAGUGGGGAAGAAAAGCUUGGGGUUAAUACCCUCAGGUCUUGACGUUACUUACAGAAAAAGCACCGGCUAACUCUGUGCCAGCAGCCGCGGUAAUACAGAGGGUGCGAGCGUUAAUCGGAAUUACUGGGCGUAAAGCGUGCGUAGGCGGCUAGAUAAGUCGGAUGUGAAAGCCCUUGGCUUAACCAAGGAAUUGCAUUCGAUACUAUUUAGCUAGAGUACGGUAGAGGGAAGCGGAAUUCUUAGUGUAGCGGUGAAAUGCGUAGAUAUUAGGAAGAACAUCAGUGGCGAAGGCGGCUUCCUGGACUGAUACUGACGCUGAGGUACGAAAGCGUGGGGAGCAAACAGGAUUAGAUACCCUGGUAGUCCACGCCCUAAACUAUGAGAACUAGAUGUUAGAAGGAUUUACCUUUUGGUGUCGCAGCUAACGCGAUAAGUUCUCCGCCUGGGGAGUACGGCCGCAAGGUUAAAACUCAAAUGAAUUGACGGGGGCCCGCACAAGCGGUGGAACAUGUGGNUUUAAUUCGAUGCAACGCGAAGAGCCUUACCUGGCCUUG